ACACGCUGGCGGCGUGCCUAACACAUGCAAGUCGAGCGGACGGUUACGAGAGUGUAGAGAUACAAAGGAGUGACUGUUAGCGGCGAACGGGUGAGUAACACGUGGGCAAUCUGCCCUCCGGGUCGGGAUAACAGACCGAAAGGCCUGCUAAUACCGAAUGAGGCGGCGACCUCGCAUGGGGAUGCCGUCAAAGGGGAAACCCGCCGGGGGAGGAGCCCGCGUCCCAUUAGCUAGUUGGUGAUGUAACGGACCACCAAGGCGAUGAUGGGUAGCCGGCCUGAGAGGGUGAACGGCCGCAUUGGGACUGAGACACGGCCCAGACUCCUACGGGGGGCAGCAGUGAGGGAUUUUCGGCAAUGGGCGAAAGCCUGACCGAGCGACGCCGCGUGAGCGAAGAAGGCCUUCGGGUCGUAAAGCUCUGUCUAGGGGGAAGAGGAAGGACGGUACCCCUGGAGGAAGCCACGGCUAACUACGUG
rnacentral:rRNA from 1 species